rnacentral:rRNA from 1 species
CCUACGGGGGGCUGCAGUAAGGAAUAUUCCGCAAUGGGCGAAAGCCUGACGGAGCGACGCCGCGUGAAGGACGAAGUCCUUCGGGAUGUAAACUUCAAUAGUUCGUCAGGAAGCAAUCCUGGCUAACAUCUAGGAAAGUUGACCAGCGAACGAAAGGGGCGGCUAACUCCGUGCCAGCAGCCGCGGUAACACGGAGGCCCCGAGCGUUGUUCGGAAUCACUGGGCUUAAAGCGCGUGUAGGCGGAACGGUAAGUACCUUGUGAAAUCCCCGGCUUCAAUCCGGGAACUGCUUGGUAUACUGUCGUUCUUGAGGCAGGUAGGGGUCACUGGAACCUUAGGUGGAGCGGUGAAAUGCGUAGAUAUCUAAGGGAACGCCUGUGGCGAAAGCGGGUGACUGGGCCUGUCCUGACGCUGAGACGCGAAAGCGUGGGGAGCAAACGGGCUUAGAUACCCUAGUAGUC